GUCGAGCGGAGAUUUCUUCGGCACUGAACAUUCUAGUAGUAUGACGCAAACAAAGCGUCAUGAAGAAACACCAUUGGUGUAUAUGAUAAGAUAAAAGUUUCUUCAUCACGCGUUAAUAAGUGCCAACACAAACAUCAAGAGAAAUUAGAGAAAAGAAUGUAUUAGAAUGUUGAGUGCUGAAGAAAUCUUAGCGGCGGACGGGUGAGUAACACGUAGGCAACCUGCCUCGAAGAGGGGGAUAACACCGAGAAAUCGGUGCUAAUACCGCAUAACAUACACAGACCGCAUGGUGAGUGUAUCAAAGGAGAAAUCCGCUUUGAGAUGGGCCCGCGGCUGAUUAGCUAGUUGGUAAGGUAACGGCUUACCAAGGCGACGAUCAGUAGCCGACCUGAGAGGGUGACCGGCCACACUGGAACUGAGACACGGUCCAGACUCCUACGGGAGGCAGCAGUGGGGAAUAUUGCGCAAUGGGGGAAACCCUGACGCAGCAACGCCGCGUGGAGGAAGAAGGUCUUCGGAUUGUAAACUCCUGUCUUCUGGGACGAAGAAUGACGGUACCAGAGGAGGAAGCCACGGCUAACUACG
rnacentral:rRNA from 1 species